GAGAACAAGGUCCAACAAAAUGACGUCCUAUAAAACUCAAAAGAGAAGCUGGUGACAUGACUGGACCUGUUCCUGCACUGCAUACACACAUGCGCUCACAAGCAGGCACAGAAGCAGUCCUCCACCUGGAACUUCCCUGAAACAGUUGGCAGGAAACAGUGAUGGGGAAAAGCAAAUUACAUGGUUCUGGAAGAAGGCAGCCCCGGCUCCCUGUGGAGAACACCAGAACCAUCAGGCCACAGACAAGAUUGCCCAAGACACCUGGAAUCACCUCUGUCCCUGGGCUUCAUCGAUCCUAACUCUCAGUUUCAACCUGAUGCAGGAGUCAGGAUGGAAUCACAUAGACAAGAAGAGAGAUUCCACCACAGCCCUGGAGUCAAGGCAUAUGAUGACUGAUGCAGAGAGAAGAGUCGGUGCUGAUCGAUGGGCUGCUUCAUUCAGGAAAGGUCCCCAGGCAGACCAUUCUAACCAUGAACUUCUGCCCUAAACCCAGUUCUCAGAAUGUCUAUGCCGGUGGUCUCAAGGAAAUCAAAGAGUCACACACAGGAACUCGCACAGGCCUCACUGACCACGUGGAGCAGCGUUCAGCAGUCUUGAGAAGUCACGAGGACCUGCUCUGGUGUGUUUCAUCUUUUUCUGUGACAUUUCAAAUCCGGAUUCUCCCAGCAUCCCUCAGUCUCUAUCUGUUACGGGGUAUGGUUGUCAUAUGCCACCCUCUACCCUUAACUCUCCAGCCUAGGACUUGGCUGCCCUUCCCCCACCCCCAGAGGCUCUUCCCUAUAUACCCCAGACAUUUUGGCUACCUGCUUUUUUAUCCUUUUGUACCUCCUGGCUGCAGUACUUGGUUGCCCUCUCUCCCUCCCCAACCCCUCAUGGUUUGGGGUCAGGACCACUCUGGACUCCCCCAGAUGUGUCUACCUCUGCCUAUGCUUUCCCACAUAUUUAUAAUAAACUUUCUCCUCCACCCUACCUAGGAGCGGUCAUGUCCUUUCCUUUCGUUUUUAUUUAUUUGUUUUUCAUUCAUUUUCCAUCUCUGAGUCCUCAUAGUAACAGACGUUGCCUGUUUCUUGGGACCAUUCUUCCUUUCUUCCAUUGAACUGGAAUUUUACAGGGGCACAUUCCCACUAAACAAAGAUUCUACUUCCCAGUCUGUCUGCCAGUAGCCACGUGACUAAGUUCUAGCCAAUGAGAUGUGAGCACAGGAUCUGUGUCCUACUUUAUCUAGGAUGUGUCCCUAAAGCAAGGACCUGAUCUCUUCUGAACUGUUGUUUAAAUGUGGAGGUGAGACAGUUUGGGCCAUGAGGUUGGGAGCAGUACGCAAAGACAGAUGUAGCAAAAGAGCCUGGGUCUUUGGAAAGCCACAGUGCCAACCCAGGCUCCUCCCGCGCUAUUGCAGUACUGUCUCGUUAACUCUCCACUGAAACUACCUUCUCUUUGAUAUGUUUAAGCAGUUUCAGGGUAUUUUUAAAGAAAUUGAGUUCUGUCCUCAACAUUGUUUUAGUUUCAUGUAAGUGUUCUUGCAAAUCCUUUAUUCUAAUCUCCUGUUUCUUUCCGUUUUAAAAAGGCAUGUAAGUUUUACCUAAAGGCUAGGUUUUUGUUACUUCUAGACAUUGUGUGUGUGUGCAAGUGCUUGCACACCAUGCAUACCUGUGCAUGUGUACCAGUGUGUAAUUGCAUGCAUGUGUGUGAAUAUGUGUAUGUGCCAGUAUAUGUGUGUGCAAGUGCCUGCAUGUGUGUAUGUGUGUCUGUCUGUCCAUCAUUAUGACAAAAUGCCUGGCAGAAGUGUUCCUAGUUCCCAUCAAGGGCUCAUCAGUCAUCGUGGUGAAGAAUGCAUGGCAGGGCAGGGUCAUUUGCAGAAGAGGCAUCAUGCAAAUGGAAAGCAGAGAGAGGCAGAUGGGAGCCAGAAGUGGGGGUGUGUAACCCUCGAGGUCUACUUCUACCGACCUACUUCUACUAUAUAGUCCCUAACCUCCAAAGAUUUCUCAACCCUGCAAAACAGCUCCAUCAGCCAGAGGCCAAGUGCUCGGAUACAUGAGCCUGCAAAGGACAUUUUACAUUCAAGCCACAACAUUGUAAAAAAUUAAUUUUUCUUCAGAUACUGUAUAUUAAUUUUUGUACUUACCUGGUAUCCAUUUUAUUGAUUUCCAUAUGGCUUAUCUGUUCUGGAAUUCCAUAUUUCCAUGUGAUAAUGAUCUAUCCUAUUUCUAUUUUAUACUCUCAUUUUUCUUUAUUCUAAAUGGUAUGAAUACUUGCAGACAAAACCUAAACUCAGAAAAGCAAAGAUAUAUUCACAUAGAUUUGCUAGGUAUUAAUAACUUGUUCUAGCAAAAGCA